UUGACCGCCGAUACCGAUUACAAAAAAAAAAACGAUGCCGAUUUUAUAUAUAUAUAUAUAUAAAAAAUGUGUUUGUAAUAAUUACAAUAAUACUGAAUGAACACUUAUUUUAACUUAAUAUAAUACAUCAAUAAAGUUGUUGGAGAAGUAAAAGUGCAAUAUGUGCCAUGUAAGUAAGCGACCGUUUAAGUUCCUUGCUCAGAACAUAUGAAAGCUGGUGGUUCCUUUUAAUAAUCCCAGGUAAGACGUUUUAGGUUGUAGUUAUUAUAGGACCAUUUCUCUCUAUACGAUUUGUAUUUCAUGUACCUUUGACUAUUGGAUGAUCUUAUAGGCACUUUUAGUAUUGCCAGUGUAACAGUAUAGCUUCUGUCCCUCUCCUCACCCCUACCUGGGCUCGAACCAGGAACACAACGACAACAGCCACCCUCGAAGCAGCGUUACCAAUGCAGAGCAAGGAGACCAACCACUCCAAGUCUCAGAGCGAGUGACAUUUGAAACGCUAUUAGCGCGCACCCUGCUAACUAGCAAGCCAUUUCACAUGGUUACACCAGCCUAAUAUCGGGAGUUGAUAGGCUUGAAGUCAAACAGCAGAGCUGUUUGCAAAACGCACGAAAGUGCUGUUUGAAUGCUUAUGAGCCUGCUGCUGCCUACCAUCACUCUAUCAAAUAAUAGACUUAAUUAUAACAUAACACACAAAUGCGAGCCUUAGGUCAUAUGGUCGAAACCGGAAACUAUCAUCUCCAAAACAAGACGUUUAUUCUUUCAGUGAAAUACGGAACCGUUCCGUAUUUUAUCCCUAAGUCUAAAUAUUCCUGUUACAUUGCACAACCUUCAAUGUUAUGUCAUAAUUGUGUAACAUUCUGGCAAAUGAAUUCAAUGAGCCAGGCGGCCCAAACUGUUGCAUAUACCCUGACUCUGCGUGCAAUGAACGCAAGAGAAGUGACACAAUUUCACCUGGUUAAUAUUGCCUGCUAACCUGGAUUUCUUUUAGCUAAAUAUGCAGGUUUAAAAAUAUAUACUUCCGUGUCUUGAUUUUAAGAAUGUCAUUGGUGUUUAUGGUUAGGUACACGUUGGAGCAACGACAGUCCUUUUUCGCAAAUGCGCACUGCAUCGAUUAUAUGCAACGCAGGACACGCUAGAUAAACUAGUAAUAUGAUCAACCAUGUGUAGUUAUAACUAGUGAUUAUGAUUGAUUAAGUUUAAUGCUAGCUAGCAACUUACCUUGGCUUCUUACUGCAUUCGCAUAACAGGCGGGCUCCUCGUGAGGCAGGUGGUUAGAGCGUUGGACUAGUUAACCGUAAAGUUGCAAGAUUGAAUCCCUGAACUGACAAGGUAAAAAUCUGUCGUUCUGCCCCUGAACAAAGCAAGUUAACCCACCGUUCCUAGGCCGUCAUUGAAAAUAAGAAUUAUCUUAAUUAACUGACUUACCUAGUUAAAGAUUAAAUAAAGGUGUAAACUGCCUGUGUAUAUUGGUUCUUAACUUCACUGAAAAUGUGCAUAUCACGGGGGCUAUUCGAUGCUAAUGCAGAACGCCACAGGAUGUUUUUGUGCUGGUCAAGGGCAGACAGGUCUGGAGUGAACCAAGAGCUAAAUCUAUUCCUGGUUCUACAUUUUUUGAAUGGAGCAUGCUUAUUUAAGAUGCUGAGGAAGGCACUUUUAAAGAAUAACCAGGCAUCCUCUACUGACAGGAUGAGGUCAAUGUCAUUCCAGGAUACCCCGGCCAGGUCGAUUAGAAACGCCUGUUCGCUGAAGUGUUUUAGGGAGCGUUUGACAGUGAUGAGGGGUGGUCGUUUGACUGCAGACCCACUAUGGAUGUAGGCAAUGAGGCAGCGAUCGCUGAGAUCUUGGUUGAAAACAGUGUAUUUGGAGGGCAAGUUAGUUAGGAUGAUAUCUAUGAGGGUGCCCAUGUUUCCGGAUUUGGGGUUGUACCUGGUAGGUUCAUUGAUAACUUGUGUGAGAUUGAGGGCAUCAAACUUAGAUUGUAGGAUGGCCGGGGUGUUAAGCAUAUCCCAGUUUAGGUCAUCUAGCAGCACGAGCUCAAGAUAGAUGGGGGGGGAAAUAAAUUUACAUAUGGUGUCCAGGGCACAGCUGGGGGCAGAGGGUGGUCUAUAGCAACGGUGAGAGACUUGUUUCUGGAAAGGUGCAUUUUUAGAAAUAGAAGCUCGAAUUGUUUUGGUACAGACCUGGAUGGUAAGAUUGCCUGCAGAGUUCUAUCUCUGCAGUAGAUUGCAACACCGCCCCCUUUGGCAGUUCUAUCUUGGAGGAAAAUGUUAUAGUUAGGGAUGGAAAUUUCAGGGGUUUUGGUGGUUUUCCUAAGCCAGGAUUCAGACACUGCUAAGACAUCCAGGUUGGCAGAAUGUGCCAAAGCAGUGAAUAAAGCAAACGUAGGGAGUAGGCUUCUAAUGUGAACAUGCAUGAAACCAAGGCUUUUACGGUUACAGAAGUCAACAAAUGAGAGCACCUGGGGAGUUGGAGUGGAGCUCGGCACUGCAGGUCCUGGAUUAACCUCUACAUCACCAGAGGAACAGUAGAAUAAGGGUACGGCUAAAGGCUAUAAGAACUGUCCGUCUAGCACGUUCGGAACGGAGAGUAAAGGGAGCAGGUUUCUGGGCACGAUAGCAUAGAUUCAAGGCAUAAUGUACAGACAAAGGUAUGGUAGGAAGAGUACAUUGGAGGUAAACCUAGGCAUUGAGUAAUGAUGAGAGAGAUAUAGUCUCUAGAGACGUUUAAACCAGGUGAUGUCAUCGUAUAUGUGGGAGGUGGAACAACAUGGUUGGUUAAGGCAUAUUGAGCAGGGCUAGAGGCUCUACAGUGAAAUAAGACAGGUAUCACUAACCAGGACAGUAAUGGACAAGGCAUAUUGAUAUUAGGGAGAGGCAUGCGUAGCCAAGUGAUCGUAUGGGUCCAGUGAGUGGUUGGGCUGUCUGGGGACACGGCGAUUCAGACAGUUAGCAGGCCGGGGAUAGCAAGCUAGCAUAAGGGCCUUAUAUGGACGUCGCAAUGGGGGAAAGUCUGUUUUUGCCUCCUUGUGCGGUGACGUCGUGGAAUUAGUAGGGCUCCACAAGUAGCAGAGGGGUCCAAGUUCAAUUGGCAAAAUGGGUAUAGUGGUCCAAGAAACUGGCCGAUGGCUCAGUUAACAGUCCAAUAUGCUCUAGAUAGCUAGCAGGCCACAGUUAGCAGAAUGGGCCUUCACGGGACGUCGCACCUGAGGGGCCUGUUGGGAUCCUCGGGCAGAUUAUGUCGGUAUUCCAGUCGUGAAGGAUUGGCAGGGUUCCGUGCCCCGUACCGGCAGUAGAAGGGGUCCGGAUAUUGUAGCCGAGGAGUGGGCUUCAGGAGUAGCCCAGGAGCCUUAGCCGGGAGAUGGGUCUAGCAUGGCCUAGCUCCAGGCUAGUUGGUGCUAGCUCCGGGACGGAAACGUUAGCCAGGAGUAGUCAACCCGGGUUGCGGUUAGCUAGCUGCAAUGAUCCAGAUGAAAAGGUUCAGAGUUUGCAGUAGGAAUCCAAGGAUAUGGGGAGAAAAAUAGGUCCGGUAUGCUCUGGUUUGAAACACGUUGCUAAAGGUUAGCUGAUGACCGCUAGCAGUGGUUACCUGGCUGAAAGCUGGUAGCUAGUUAGCUAACUAGCUUCAGUUGAGGUAUUCCAGUUCGGUAAAUAGAAAUACUUAAGAAAAAAAACAGAUCCACACCACAUUGGGUGAGGCGGCUUGCAGGAUAGUAAUUUGAAGUUGAGGUUUAGGAAAAAUAUUUAAAAGAAUGCAAAGAAAAAUAUAUAAAAAGACAUAUACAUGGGACGAGACAAGACAAAGACGUCUGAAUUCUACACCAUCUUGGAUCAUAUGAUCCAAGUUACCAUGUAGGGCACUGCAAGAUUGGGUGACCAGUGUCAUCUGGGACUGCCUCCUGGAGGAAUUCAGGCGUGUAAUGACUACCUAUGUCCUUCAUGAGCAUGGACAUGAGGAACAGGAGGGGAUCUGCAGCUCACCGCUGUGUGCCAGAGUAGAAGUCUCCUGCUCUGCAGGAUGUUUCAAGAAUGGGGUACAACAACGCAGCAAGACAGGUAUUCCGUGUGCAGGAGAUCUUCACCUCCUACUUCUUCGAAGAGUUUGCUGUUCCAUGGCAACACCAUAGACUAGACUAUGCACAACCAAAGGCUCUUCUAAGAGCCAUCCACAUUGCAAUAAGAUGAUUCUUCCCUUUACUUAGCUAUGCCAACUGCAGUUAUUCAAUUCCCAUUUUCUAUCACUUUGAUUUCUACUUAUUAGGUGAGGGUGCUGUUUAGGUAAGGGUGUGAUAUAUGUACAAAAACAAAACAGGCUAUUUUAAGUCACCCAUAUCGAAAAAUGCAGAACAAUUAGACACCCUAUAACCCACACCUGAUUGAUUAUGUUGUGCAGUAAGCAGGCUCAGGAGUAUAGCUGUGGCUCCUUCCAUCUUCAAAGAAAAGGAAAGAGGGCCAACCAUGGAGAACAGUUAUAGCAGCUGUCGGUGAACCCCUCCUGCAUCUGAACUGGCUACAUAGAGGGCACAGCAUGAUCAGAGGUAUGUUUUGAUGUGAGAGAGGAUACCAACCCCCAGUCCCAUCAUCGCCACCUCACCCGCUAUUAAGAUAACCUUCAGGCUGACUGGGAGCCCAAGGCUGGUUAGGAGAUCACUAGAGACACUUGUGUAAUUGUGAUGAGCUGAGAGAAUAUUAGGAUAGCACUGUGAUUCAUUAAACACAUGCUGCUUUCCCUACUCCUAUGUCCUUACCUCUUUCCCUUUCUGUCUUUUACACCUCUCUCGCCACCUCUUUCUUCCUCUGUUUUUAUAAUGCACAACAUAUUGAAGUAAAGAUUGAACUUGUAUUCAUAAUAUCACAAUUCUAAUAUUUAUAAUGCAUGUAUUUAUAACACUUGGAUAAUUAACUUUUUUCAAUAAA